rnacentral:rRNA from 1 species
AAAACUCACCAGGUCCGGACAUGGUAAGGAUUGACAGAAUGAGAGCUCUUUCAAGAUUCUAUGGGUGGUGGUGCAUGGCCGUUCUUAGUUGGUGGAGUGAUUUGUCUGGUUAAUUCCGAUAACGAACGAGACCUCUACCUGUCAUACUACGACUGUUGAUGUGAAUCGGCAGGCGUUCUAUGAGGGACUGACUGGGGUUACCAGUAGGAAGUUUGAGGCAAUAA